UACAGAGGUGGCAAGCGUUGUUCGGAAUUACUGGGCGUAAAGGGCGCGUAGGCGGUUCGAUAAGUCCCGUGUGAAAUCCCUCGGCUCAACUGAGGAACUGCACGGGAAACUGACGGGCUUGAGUUCGGGAGAGGGAAGCGGAAUUCCUGGUGUAGCGGUGAAAUGCGCAGAUAUCAGGAGGAACACCGGUGGCGAAGGCGGGUCUCUGGGCCGAUACUGACGCUGAGGAGCGAAAGCGUGGGGAGCGAACAGG
rnacentral:rRNA from 1 species